AGGGGGCGUAAGCCCCCUCUUGCCUUAAUGCAGCCAGGGCGUAGCCCUGCCGGUCCCAAGCCCGGAAUGAUGCAGAGGGAGGU
rnacentral:ribozyme from 1 species